CAUUCAAUUGGUUUACAUUCACUGUAUCAAAAUUGUAUGAGUCAAAAAAUAGAUUCUAUUGAGAUUUGUAAAUCGUUAGAAGAUAACCAGUUAACAAAUUUAGGUCUGGUGACCAUUGGUGAAAGAAUUAAGUUUAAAAAUGCAGUGCAGCAUUGGCAAUCCAUGCCCAUGGCUGAGAGCGAUACGGCCGCAUCUGGAUCUAGGAUCUCGACAGACGCUACAUUAAGAGAAAGGAACUCUUUAUUUAUGCCAAGUAGGUGCAGGCAGCCUAGUACCAGUACUUCUGUAGGCAAAAGAAAACGUCCACGAACUUGGACUGCUAAUUUUAUGUGCCUUUCAAACAAUCAUCAAAAUAAGGUACCUAACAGUGCUGAAAAAGAAUGCUUGUACAAGGCAGGUUUGGGUAUGAAAAAAAGUAACUUUUGAAGGAGAUGCAAAAGAACAAAGUGUUCAUGACACUAUCAUUAAAGAGUUUCCUAAACUUGAACAGUGUGGGGGGUUUGAACUGUUACGUUGUAACAGUAGCUGCAGAGUAUUGAAACAACUUAAUUGUAAAUGGGAUGUUAAAACAUUAAAAAGUGUUGUAGGACCUCAAGGUAAAUUUUAUAUUAGACCCAUUCAAAAGUGUUUGACGGUUGAGGUAGUAACAGAAGAUGAAGAAACAGAGUUAAUGACAAAGUGUGACAUAUGCAAACAGGAAGUUUCUUUAGGUCAAAUACGUAACCAUGUUGUGUCCUGUAUAGCCACAAAUCUGGACCAUACAGAAACGUACCUGUAUACUUCACAGGGAAAUUCAGAUGAAGAACUUCCUGAAAGUGCUUCAGAGAUAAUUCAUCAACAGGGGUUUUCCAUGGAAUUCCAUGAUUUACCAGAGAUUUCCAGCAUAACUUCCAUGGUGACCCUGGACAAUGUACACCCGGGCAGUGAGGACCAGCAUAAUGGAGAUUAUUUAAGUACAUUAGUUAAAAAGUGUACUACAUUUUGUAAAUCCAAUGAUGUGUCUGAUCCUAUUCAUGUGCUAAAGAUCUUUCAAAAAGAGAUUGUCACUGGGAGACCAUUAGAACUAACAGAAGAGACAUCAUCUACGGGCAUUUAUGGUGAAACCAAUUUCAUUUUGGUAGACAGAGGCGAUCUACUGAAAACAGCAAUUGAGGAAAUAAGGGCAAUAAGCGACAUGAGGAAAUGCCUUGAAGUUCAGUUCUAUGGAGAGUGUGCUGCUGAUUUUGGAGGUCCAAGAAAGGAAUUAUUCUCUCUUGUCCUGCAGUGCAUUAAGGAAGAAUACUUCGAGCCAGUGAGAGAGUGGUCAGAUGACUAUGAAGCUGUUGGCAGAAUAUUGGCUCUGAGCACUCUUCAAAACGGAAGAUUACCUAGAAUUAUGUGAGCAGAGCUAGUGGAGAAAGUAUUGAAUCAAGUGCUGCCUGUAGACAAGUACAUCCAGGACCUAAGAAAAGGUCUUGACAGUAUUCAAUCAAGUGCUGCCUGUAGACAAGUACAUCCAGGACCCAAGAAAAGGUCUUGACAGUCUUGGUCUUGUUCAGCUUGUUUAAGAACUGCCAGCUGUUAUUCACCUGUUCACACCUCAACAGUCGAAUCCUUUAACGUUGAAGAUGUUGACACACCUAUUGAAGCCACAGUUUAGUGCUGAAGGGUCAAACAGAAGACAGAGAGAGAAUUCCACAUACACGUUGUUCAUCAAAUACAUGCGUGAAGCUGCAAGUGGAAGAAGAGGUGCUGUAAAUCUUGGGAGCAUAUUAAGGUUUGCCACUGGUACAGAGGAGGAACCUGCCUUGGGCUUUGCUCUUCAGCCUUCCAUUCAAUUUAUGGAAAGUGCUAAUUUCCUGCCCACUGCAAAUACCUGCAUAAACAGAAUGAAUUUAUCAUUGCCAGAUGAAAGUAAUCCACUACCACUGCAAGAGGAACUGUUCAAUUUGUUUGAUCUAGCAUUUUGUAACACAUUCUUUGGUUUAGAAUAAAAAAUGACAUUCACAUAUAAUUAUACCCCAUUACCAUUGGUAAUAGAGGCUAUAUGAGUCACUCUUUUGGUCAGUCGGGCUGUCAAAAAAUUUCAUCCAAUCUUCACCAAACUUGGUCACAAGUUGUAUCUAGAUGAUGUCUAGGUCAAGUUUGAAUAUGUAUCAUGCCAGGUCAAAAACUAGGUCACAGGUAAAUUACUGCUUUCUAAACCGAAAGUUUGUCCGGACCAUAACCAUGUCAUUUAUCAUUAGAUUUUAAAAUCACUUGGUACAUUUGUUCACCAUCAUAGGACGGUGUGUCAUGCAAUAGAAGGACGUCGAUGUCUCCAAGGUCAAGGUCACACUUUGAAUUCAAAGGUAAAGUCGGUCGGUCUGUCUGUCCCAAAAAUUUCAUCUGAUCUUCACCAAACUUGGUCAGAAGUUGUAUCUAGAUGUUGUCAAGGUCAAGUUUGAAUAUGGGUCAUGCCAGGUCAAAAACUAGGUCACAGGUCACUAACUGCGUUUUAAACUGAAAGUUUGUCUGGACCAUAACUAGGGCUGUAACGAUACAUUCGAAUUGGACGACAUGUAAUGCAAAAUAAUUCAAGAGCUCAAAGGUCAAAAUGGCCAUAAAAGACAAUGGCAUAAUCAUUCUUCCAUAUCGCCAUAAAUUAGCUUCUCUUGUUUUGUGAAGACAGCAUGCAAAAUAUUAAAUGUCACUGCAGCAUUUUGUGGUAUAUGUCACGUCUGUGACAAAGCUCUAGUUGUGUAUAUGUAUGUAGUAAAAAAUGUUUUGAAUGUAGCAUGUGAGUUAUAUUGGUGUAAUCAACAUUUACUUUGUGAACCCUCAAGAGGCCAACAUUUUUUUUGCAAUCUUGAAACUUGGUCAGCACAUUUGUCCCCAUAACAUUAUUACCUCUCCUGAGCACUAUAGCCCCUAUGUUGAGCUUGUGUGAUAGUCCUUUGUUUUUUGUGCAUCGUCAAUAUAUGCCAUGUGAACGCUAGAGUCUACAUUUUUGUCCGAUCUAAAUGAAACUUGGUCAGAUAAUUAGUCCCAAUGAUAUCUGGACUCUGUUUGAAAUUGGGUCAUUUAGAUGUCAAACACUAGGUCAAAAAAGAAAAAACAUGUGAACACUAGAGGUCAAAUUUGAUGCCUCAUGUAAUUUUGUAAUAAUGUUUUUUAAUGAUAGGUUCAUUGUUGGUUGAGCAUGAAAAUAAGCCUUUUUUCCAUGAACAUUUACAUAUUUUAAUGUAUUGUAGUGUACACAAUGUGUAAAGUAUAUCAAUUCUUUGAAAUUGCUUAUUAGCAUUUUGUUAAUUAUGUCUUAUUUACAUGCAAUACAUUUUGCUUGUUUACAUUGUAAAUGUGAUGUUCAUUUAAGUGUUGUCUGGGCUUGUUUCCGUCUUUUGCAGCAGCAAAGUAUAUUGACCCUUUUACCUAAGAAAAACUAUGCUGUUUACCUUCAAAUUUACUUUUAAAAACCAUAUUAUCUCCUCAGUGGUAACUUUUCCUCAUAUUUAACAUUUUGACCAUUUUCCCAAACCAAAAGCAUAAAAAUGACGUGUAUUUUGGUUUUGUUCCUAAUGGUAUGUAACCCCAUGUUUUUGUCAUAUUUUUGUGAUAUCUUUUUCAUUGUUUAAAAGUUUUUUUUCACAAAUUGUUACUCAUGAGCUAUUGUGACCUGUCUGUGUUGGUCGUCCUGUAUCUUGUGUCAACAUAUUUACUUAAAUGACAUCUCCUUACCAGCUGGUCAAAUAUUAAUUAAACUUGGCAAGAAUGUUCCUUGCAUGAAGCUCUUUUAAAGUUUUUCAAACAAAAGCAUUCCAUGAAUAACUCUGGCUCUUGUUGCCAUGGCAAGCGAAAGGAAAAACUUUAACAAAUCCCAUCUGUUUUACCCCCACUACCAUUGGUGGUAGGGGGGGGGGGGCUAUAUAGGAAUCACUUUGUCUGUCCCAAAACUUUGUCCGGACCAUAACUUUGUCAUUAAUCGUAAUAUUUUAAAAUGACUUGGUUAAUUUGUGCACUAUCUCCAAAUUCAUGGACACACUUUGAGUUGGAAGGUCAAUAUGCCCAUAGACGAGUUUUUCUGGGCCAUAACUAUGUCAUUUGUUGUGAGAUUUUAAAUCAUUUGGCAGGUUUGUUCACCAUCAUUACACGGUGUGUGAUGCGAAAAAAUUCUGUCCAUAUCACCAAGGUCAAGGUCACAUUUUCAGCUCAAAGGUCAUAUAUUGCCAUAAACUGACCUUGUCUGGGCCAUAACUAUGUCAUUCCUUGUGAGAUUUGUGAAUGACUCAGUGCAUUUGUUCACCAUCAUGGAACAGUAUGUCAUGUUAAAGACCUACUCCGAUAUCUCCAAGGUCAAGGUCACACUUGCAUGAUAAUAAAUUAUUCUUUAAAAUAAAAUAAAAUUAGUUUCUCUUACUUUGUGAAAACAACGUGUUAAAUAUUUAGUUAAAUAUUCAGUAUCAAUGCGGCAUGUAGGGGAAUCGUCAUGUCUGUGACAAAACUCUUGUUAUGCCCCCCUUCGAAGAAGAGGGGGUAUAUUGCUUUGCUCAUGUCGGUAUGUCGGUCGGUCUGUCGGUCCGUCCACCAGGUGGUUGUCAGAUGAUAACUCAAGAACGCUUGGGCCUAGGAUCAUGAAACUUCAUAGGUACAUUGAUCAUGACUCGCAGAUGACCCCUAUUGAUUUUGAGGUCACUAGGUCAAAGGUCAAGGUCACGGUGACCCGAAAUAGAUAAAUGGUUUUUCAAUGAUAACUCAAGAAUGCAUACGCGGCCAACAGGGCAAACUCUGAACAAUAUUACUGAAGCAACUGGUCUGUAAUCCUAAAUCUAUAAUUAUCAGUUCAAUGAAACAUCAUCCUUUUAGUGAAAUACAGUGGAUCAGUAAAAAUAUUAUCAGAAUAUGAGAUUUUUUGUAUAUUUUGUAUAUUAAAUAUUGUGUUAAUAUUUAAUUUUGUUGAUUAAUAUAAAUAUCAGCAGGACAGGGGAGGUAACACACUAUUAUAUCUUUCUUAUAUAAGGGGAAACAAAGGCAAUAAGUUAAAAUUUCAUGUUUAAUGAAUAGAGGAUA